rnacentral:rRNA from 1 species
AGACAGUUCGGUCCCUAUCCGUCGCAGGCGUAGGAAAUUUGAGAAGACCUGUCCUUAGUACGAGAGGACCGGGAUGGACGUACCUCUGGUGUACCAGUUGUCCUGCCAAGGGCAUGGCUGGGUAGCUGUGUACGGAAUGGAUAAGCGCUGAAAGCAUCUAAGCGCGAAGCCAACUUCAAGAUAAGAUUUCCCACCGCAAGGGUAAGACCCCAGAAAGACUAUCUGGUUG